rnacentral:siRNA from 1 species
CGGAUACAUGAUAUAUUUGCC